rnacentral:tRNA from 1 species
UGGGGUGUAGCCAAGCGGUUAAGGCACUGGGUUUUGAUCCCAGCAUACCCAGGUUCGAAUCCUGGCACCCCAACCA